AUUGAACGCUGGCGGCAGGCCUAACACAUGCAAGUCGAGCGGCUGAAGGGAGCUUGCCCCUGGAUUCAGCGGCGGACGGGUGAGUAAUGCCUAGGAAUCUGCCUGGUAGUGGGGGAUAACGUCCGGCAACGGGCGCUAAUACCGCACACGCCCUGAGGGAGAAAGUGGGGGAUCUUCGCACCCCACGCUAUCAGAUGUGCCGAGGUCGGAUUAGCUAGUUGGGGGGGUAAAGGCCUACCAAGGCGACGAUCCGUAUCUGGUCUGAGAGGACGAUCAGUCACACUGGAACUGAGACACGGUCCAGACUCCUACGGGAGGCAGCAGUGGGGAAUUUUGGACAAUGGGCGAAAGCCUGAUCCAGCCAUGCCGCGUGUGUGAAGAAGGUCUUCGGAUUGUAAAGCACUUUUAGUUGGGAGGAAGGGCAUGAAGUUAAGACCGUGCUGUUUUGACGUUACCAAAAGAAUAAGCACCGGCUAACUACGU
rnacentral:rRNA from 1 species